rnacentral:rRNA from 1 species
UACGAAGGGGGCUAGCGUUGCUCGGAAUCACUGGGCGUAAAGCGCACGUAGGCGGCUUGUUAAGUCAGGGGUGAAAUCCUGGAGCUCAACUCCAGAACUGCCUUUGAUACUGGCGAUCUUGAGUCCGGGAGAGGUGAGUGGAACUGCGAGUGUAGAGGUGAAAUUCGUAGAUAUUCGCAAGAACACCAGUGGCGAAGGCGGCUCACUGGCCCGAUACUGACGCUGAGGCACGAAAGCGUGGGGAGCAAACAGG